CCUGCCACAAAAAAAUGGAAGUGUGACUACAAGUGGAAGAAUGAGACAAGAGGGAUAUGCAGGAAAAAAAGAUAAAAAUACCUGAACACCAAAGGUUGACAAGUCUUGAGUCUUCAAAACAAACGUAGAAACUUCCAGAUUCUUCAGAUUACUUGAAAGUUCCAGGGACAUAUACAAACUAUUCAAACUUUUCCUUUUGUUUCCUACCAUGAGAAAUCCUGGACACAAAGAAAAAUCUUAUAAUGGACCACUAGCAUUCCUUUCCUUCCCUUCUCCUUCAUAAACAAUAGACUUACUGUACUCCAGUAAUGAUAUACAGACACUCUGGUAUACUCACAAAGAUAAUUCUGCAAUCCAGGUUAUUU
rnacentral:lncRNA from 1 species